UACAGAGGUCCCAAGCGUUGUUCGGAUUCACUGGGCGUAAAGGGCGCGUAGGUGGUGAGGUAAGUCGGAUGUGAAAUCUUCGAGCUCAACUCGGAAAUGGCAUUGGAAACUACCUUGCUAGAGGGUUGGAGGGGGGACUGGAAUACUUGGUGUAGCAGUGAAAUGCGUAGAUAUCAAGUGGAACACCAGUGGCGAAGGCGAGUCCCUGGACAACUCCUGACACUGAGGCACGAAAGCUAGGGGAGCAAACAGG
rnacentral:rRNA from 1 species